rnacentral:rRNA from 1 species
CCUACGGGAGGCAGCAGUGGGGAAUAUUGCACAAUGGGAAACCCUGAUGCAGCGACGCCGCGUGAGUGAAGAAGUAUUUCGGUAUGUAAAGCUCUAUCAGCAGGGAAGAAAGAAAUGACGGUACCUGACUAAGAAGCCCCGGCUAACUACGUGCCAGCAGCCGCGGUAAUACGUAGGGGGCAAGCGUUAUCCGGAUUUACUGGGUGUAAAGGGAGCGUAGACGGCGAUGCAAGUCUGAAGUGAAAGGCGGGGGCCCAACCCCUGGACUGCUUUGGAAACUGUAUGGCUGGAGUGCAGGAGAGGUAAGUGGAAUUCCUAGUGUAGCGGUGAAAUGCGUAGAUAUUAGGAGGAACACCAGUGGCGAAGGCGGCUUACUGGACUGUAACUGACGUUGAGGCUCGAAAGCGUGUGGAGCAAACAGGAUUAGAUACCCCAGUAGUC